CGCGGGCCGCCGGGCCGGGGUCGCCGCCCGGGCUCGGUCAGUCGGUACCUUCAUGAAGGUCUCUACCGCGCCUUUGGCCGUGUCCAGCCUCGUCCCAAAUGCCGUGGGAGGGAAGGCACUCUCUGUCAAGCUGCUGUCACCUUACCUGAAGUAAGGAGUCCACGCCUGCAUGUCCGAGGAAAACAGUUUUCUCAAACACAUUAGUUGAAAAACUGAAGACGCUGCCUAAAAUACAAGCUGAGUUAGAGACAGCCCUUGUAAGACUAGAAAAAGAAAUGGAAACUAAGUAACAUGAAUUAACAUAGUCCAGGGUCACAAAGCAAAAUGGAACAAGAACCUGGAUCUGAAUUCAGAGGCAGAAUGCUGGAAUCUAAGCCAGAAUGAGGUUACUGCCUAUGCAAAGAAGAAGACAGCUCAUCACAGGCCUGAGAAUCAGGAGAGUCAAUGGUAUUAGUGCUUGUCCGGAAGCCAUCAUGCUUCAAAACCAAGAAGAGCUGAUUUUCCAGUUGGAGUCUAAAGGAAAGGCCUUGUGAGGACAUAACCAGGAAGAGAGUCCUCACCAGAACCUGACCAUAACUGCACCCUGAUCUCAAGCUUCCAGCUUCCAGAACCAUGAGAAAUCAAUGUUUGUUGUUUUAGCCACCCAGUCUACAGAAAUUUGUUAUAGCCACCCUAGCUGACUACCACAUUGGACAUCACAGC
rnacentral:antisense_RNA from 1 species